UACGUAGGGGGCAAGCGUUAUCCGGAAUUACUGGGUGUAAAGGGUGAGUAGGCGGCAUGGUAAGCCAGAUGUGAAAGCCUUGGGCUCAACCCGAGGAUUGCAUUUGGAACUAUCAAGCUAGAGUACAGGAGAGGAAAGCGGAAUUCCUAGUGUAGCGGUGAAAUGCGUAGAUAUUAGGAAGAACACCAGUGGCGAAGGCGGCUUUCUGGACUGAAACUGACGCUGAGGCACGAAAGCGUGGGGAGCGAACAGG
rnacentral:rRNA from 1 species